rnacentral:rRNA from 1 species
CCUACGGGAGGCUGCAGUGAGGAAUAUUGGUCAAUGGGCGAGAGCCUGAACCAGCCAAGUAGCGUGAAGGAUGACGGAUCUAUGGGUUGUAAACUUCUUUUAUAUAGGAAUAAAGUGAGGCACGUGUUCCUUUUUGUAUGUACCAUAUGAAUAAGCAUCGGCUAACUCCGUGCCAGCAGCCGCGGUAAUACGGAGGAUCCGAGCGUUAUCCGGAUUUAUUGGGUUUAAAGGGUGCGUAGAUGGUUAAUUAAGUCAGUUGUGAAAGUUUGCGGCUCAACCGUAAAAUUGCAGUUGAAACUGGUUGCCUUGAGUAUAGUUGAGGUAGGCGGAAUGCGUGGUGUAGCAGUGAAAUGCAUAGAUAUCGAGCAGAACACUGAUGGCGAAGGCAGGUUACUAGACUAUAACUGACACUGAGGCACGAAGGCGAGGGGAUCAAAAAGGAUUAGAUACCCCUGUAGUC